AUGGUUACAUCAUUAUUACUGCAUGGAACAACAACACCAGCUGAUUGGUGUACCGUAGAUACUCUUACGUUGACAUAUGCAGGAGGAUUAGGCUCUGGAAUAAUAACACUCUCGCUGUUUAACAUUGCAACAACAUCUGACAUGGUGGGUCGAUCAUCUGCACUCUCUUGUACGCACAUUAGUGCAAUGUUAAUAUACCUCCUAGCCUCUGUUGUAUGGAUCUCCGUAACAAUUGAUAGUUCUAGAAGCUCAAGCCACCUUCCUCCUUCCCAGAGAUGCCAUGACUGCAAGAAGAAAUGCACUAUUUUCGUCACAUACAUGAUAAAAGAAACUUCAGUCUACAAAAUAAUACACUCAUAUGCGAGGGUUCAGAAAAUGCUGACAUAUCCAAGAAGGUUAAGAAAGUCUUCGCAAUGA
rnacentral:rRNA from 1 species